rnacentral:rRNA from 1 species
UGCAUGUACCGCAUGAAUAAGGAUCGGCUAAUUCCGUGCCAGCAGCCGCGGUAAUACGUAGGGUGCGAGCGUUAUCCGGAUUUAUUGGGUUUAAAGGGAGCGUAGGCGGUAUGUUAAGUCUGCGGUAAAAUGUCAGGGCCCAACCUUGGCUUGCCGUGGAUACUGGCGUACUUGAAUGUGCACAAGGAAGGUGGAAUUCGUCGUGUAGCGGUGAAAUGCUUAGAUAUGACGAAGAACUCCGAUUGCGAAGGCAGCCUUCUGGGGCAUGAUUGACGCUGAGGCUCGAAAGUGCGGGAAUCAAACAGGAUUAGAUACCCUG